GACGAACGCUGGCGGCGUGCCUAAUACAUGCAAGUAGAACGCACAGUGUAUACCGUAGCUUGCUACACAAUAAACUGUGAGUUGCGAACGGGUGAGUAACGCGUAGGUAACCUGCCUGGUAGCGGGGGAUAACUAUUGGAAACGAUAGCUAAUACCGCAUAAUAUUGAUUAUUGCAUGAUAAUUGAUUGAAAGAUGCUAUUGCAUCACUACCAGAUGGACCUGCGUUGUAUUAGCUAGUAGGUGAGGUAACGGCUCACCUAGGCGACGAUACAUAGCCGACCUGAGAGGGUGAUCGGCCACACUGGGACUGAGACACGGCCCAGACUCCUACGGGAGGCAGCAGUAGGGAAUCUUCGGCAAUGGACGAAAGUCUGACCGAGCAACGCCGCGUGAGUGAAGAAGGUUUUCGGAUCGUAAAGCUCUGUUGUAAGAGAAGAACGGGUGUGAGAGUGGAAAGUUCACACUGUGACGGUAUCUGACCAGAAAGGGACGGCUAACUACGUG
rnacentral:rRNA from 1 species